AUUCACUGCACUAUUUUUAUUUUAUUUUUAUUUUUUAGCCAUACCUCAGUUAAUGUAAAUUUAGUUUGACGUUUUAAAAUGUUUAAAUUGUCUUCCACAGCAUCAAAGGCUCAGCUUGGAUUUGUGUGUAUGCGUGUGUAAAUUUAUGACAUUAUGUGAAAACCUACCCCUUUAAUGGCUGGUUAGAAAUUAAGGAGGAAACUAACAGUUGUAGGUAAGGAAAAUAAUUAGAGGUAAAAGUACUCUAAGUUUGUAGCAUUUAUUGAGAUCUAAUUCUGUCUUGCCUUUGCUUCUCCUGUUAUCUUACCCCCUGCCCUCAUUCUGGAACAGCUGAAGGAAUACAUUUUAUUCUGUCCAUCAAGCAUACACUAUGAAAUCGGAGUGCUUAAAAAUACUUCUGUGACCCUCUGCAAUGCUUGUUGUAUAGAUCCACAGGGAGUAACCACUUAGAGGAAAACGAUGGAGAACUGAAGGAGAUGAAUCGUUGAACAGUUAUCCAUGUCAAGUCUGGUUGUCAAAAAAUGUUCUUAUUAUUCAGUCAAACAUGCUUUGAGCUUCAUAUCCUAAAAGUAACCAUUCCAGUGAAUAGAUCU
rnacentral:lncRNA from 1 species